rnacentral:tRNA from 5 species
GGACGGGUGGCCGAGUGGUUUAAGGCAGCGGUCUUGAAAACCGCCGUGGGUGAAAGCCCACCGUGGGUUCGAAUCCCACCCCGUCCGCCA